rnacentral:rRNA from 1 species
GAUGAACGCUAGCGACAGGCCUAACACAUGCAAGUCGAGGGGCAGCACGAAGUAAGCUUGCUUACUUUGGUGGCGACCGGCGCACGGGUGCGUAACAGGUGUGCAAUCUGUCCAUAAUCGGGGAAUAGCCCAGCGAAAGUUGGAUUAAUGCUCCAUGUGAGUUUUAGAGGCAUCUCUUUAAUUUGAAACGUAAGGAUUAUGGGUGAGCACGCUCCUGAUUAGGUAGUUGGUGAGGUAACGGCUCACCAAGCCGACGAUCAGUAGGGGUUCUGAGAGGAAGGUCCCCCACAUUGGAACUGAGACACGGUCCAAACUCCUACGGGAGGCAGCAGUGAGGAAUAUUGGUCAAUGGACGGAAGUCUGAACCAGCCAAGUCGCGUGAAGGAUGAAGGUUCUAUGGAUUGUAAACUUCUUUUGUCUGAGGGUAAAAAAGCGGACGUGUCCGUUCUUGCAAGUAUCAGACGAAUAAGCAUCGGCUAACUCCGUGCCAGCCGCCGCCGUAAAAC